rnacentral:rRNA from 1 species
GACGAACGCUGGCGGCGUGCUUAACACAUGCAAGUCGAACGGAAAGGCCCUGCUUUUGUGGGGUGCUCGAGUGGCGAACGGGUGAGUAACACGUGAGUAACCUGCCCUUGACUUUGGGAUAACUUCAGGAAACUGGGGCUAAUACCGGAUAGGAGCUCCUGCUGCAUGGUGGGGGUUGGAAAGUUUCGGCGGUUGGGGAUGGACUCGCGGCUUAUCAGCUUGUUGGUGGGGUAGUGGCUUACCAAGGCUUUGACGGGUAGCCGGCCUGAGAGGGUGACCGGCCACAUUGGGACUGAGAUACGGCCCAGACUCCUACGGGAGGCAGCAGUGGGGAAUAUUGCACAAUGGGCGGAAGCCUAAUGCAGCAACGCCGCGUGCGGGAUGACGGCCUUCGGGUUGUAAACCGCUUUCGCCUGUGACGAAGCGUGAGUGACGGUAAUGGGGAAAGAAGCACCGGCUAACUACGU